UGCAGUGGGCGCUUUCCUGACCUCUUGGCUGUGGAGUUUCCGCUGAGUACUGGGAGGAUGGACAAGGUGGCAUGAAGGCCAGCGCUGUGCAAACAUACCAGCAGAGCCCAUACGCAUCGCAAGAUGGUGCAGAACCGACCUCCCCACCACCUGGCUCCCCCAACUUUCCCUCCUGGAAAAGAAGACGUCAGCAAGAACAAAGGCCACUGCCUAGGGCUGACCCUGUCACAAUUCUUCUCGCUGCGGAACCCGGAAGUAGAUCCUGCAUGAGAUCUAGUAGGCUGCUCUGCAGAGCUCCUGUGAGGGGCUGCACUUUCAACACCUGAAUACUUUUAAACGGAAGGUGAUAGAAACUGAUCUAGAGAUGGUACCACUUUGUGAAGGAUUGAUGAAAAGCAACUGCUAGCAACAAAGGCAUAAUAUCACUUAUUUCCUUGCAUUUUAAAAAUAUUAAUAAUGAAAUGAUUAACAGGGGAGAAAACUCAACUCCAGUCUUCAUGUUCACUGUAACCAGAUUACUCAUGCUGACUCACCAACCACCACUUCCUCUCUUACAUUCUCUUCAUACUUCAGAGUAUGACUAGUCAACUUCUCAAGAUCACUGUAUCUCAAAUUUAUUCCAGGAAGGAGUCCAUGCCGUGGGAGGAAAACGCUUUCCAACUCAGUUAGAAUCCUCCCCCCCUCUAAUGCUAAAGGAAGUAAUUUCAUCCCACAAGGAAUAAUAUGUUUGGAGAGGAUUUGCAGGCAGACACACCACACACACAAGAGUCAGGAAUUACAGAGGAUGCUCAACGUUCAAUGGGUGCACUUUUAAAUGUGUGGCACCAUCUUUUAUUCCCCCAUCCAAUUUAUAUGUCGACAGCUCAAACUGAAAAACUAACAAAAUCAAAGCAAUAAAUGGGAGAAGAGACUGAAAUAAAACGGAAGAAGGCUUUUGUAGGCAAGUUGUGUGUAAAAGACUGCCAACCCUGUGCAGAUACUAAGAAUACUCUGGAAUUAGCCCCCUUUCCUCAAACUGUCUAUUUUCAUUUGACAGCCAAGGGUCACUUCCCACCAUCCCCGAUUUUUCUCUAGGAUUGCAAUCACAUCCUUGAAAAUGUGUCAGCAAUAUUCGGUGAAAGCUCAGAUCAGAAUAAGGGCUGCUAAAGUGGUCAGUAGUGGACUGCGCCGUCCCAAGGGAUUGCUCCACCCACAGGGAAAUGUCCUGUUAUGCACUAAGCUUGGAUCCUAAAACAAUAGGCAAGUAGGAUCCUAGAAUGCAACAACUGAUUGGCUUGCAGGAAAAGACCAAUCAGGCUCCAGGAGGGAAGCAGAAUCAGCCAAUCAGACGGGACUCAUUGUGUAAAUAAUGUAUAUAAAAGCCUGAGGUUUGGGGGGGUGCAAUUCAAUCACUGUUUUACGAGGUGCAAUAAAGAGCAU